GACGAACGCUGGCGGCGUGCUUAACACAUGCAAGUCGAACGGAAAGGCCCUGCUCUUGUGGGGGGCGCAAGAGGCGAACGGGUGAGUAACACGUGAGUAACCCGCCCUCUACUUUGGGAUAACAUCAGGAAACUGGGGCUAAUACCGGAUAGAAGCUCCGGCUGCAUGGGGGGGGUUGGAGAGUUUGGGCGGUUGGGGAUGGACUCGCGGCUUAUCAGCUUGUUGGUGGGGUAGUGGCUUACCAAGGCUUUGACGGGUAGCCGGCCUGAGAGGGUGACCGGCCACAUUGGGACUGAGAUACGGCCCAGACUCCUACGGGAGGCAGCAGUGGGGAAUAUUGCACAAUGGGCGGAAGCCUGAUGCAGCAACGCCGCGUGCGGGAUGACGGCCUUCGGGUUGUAAACCGCUUUCGCCUGUGACGAAGCGUGAGUGACGGUACUGGGUAAAGAAGCACCGGCUAACUACGUG
rnacentral:rRNA from 1 species